GAUGAACGCUAGCGGCAGGCUUAAUACAUGCAAGUCGAGGGGCAGCAGGUCCCGCAGCAAUGCGGGAUGCUGGCGACCGGCAAACGGGUGCGGAACACGUACAGAACCUUCCUUUAAGUGGGGAAUAGCCCGGGGAAACCCGGAUUAAUACCCCGUAACAUAAUGAAGUGGCAUCACUUUAUUAUUAUAGCAGCAAUGCGCUUGAAGAUGGCUGUGCGGCUGAUUAGGUAGUUGGCGGGGUAACGGCCCACCAAGCCUACGAUCAGUAACUGGUGGGGGAGCAGCACCAGUCCCACGGGUACGGGGACACGGGCCCGACUCCUACGGGAGGCAGCAGUAAGGAAUAUUGGGCAACGGACGCAAGGCUGACCCAGCCAUGCCGGGUGGAGGAUGAAGGUCCUCUGGAUUGUAAACUUCUUUUAUCUGGGAAGAAAUCUAUUUUUUCUAAAGUAGUUGACGGUACCAGAUGAAUAAGCACCGGCUAACUCCGUGCCAGCCGCCGCGGUAA
rnacentral:rRNA from 1 species